rnacentral:ncRNA from 1 species
CGCAAGCGAUAAAAAAGCAGCAAAAACCGGCGCAAUGAUUAAAAGAUGAGCGGUUGAAAUAAAAAUGCAUUUUUCCGCUUGUCUUCCUGAGCCGACUCCCUAUAAUGCGCCUCCAUCGACACGGCGGAUGUGAAUCACUUCACACAAACAGCCGGUUCGGUUAAAGAGAAAAAAUCCUAAAAUUCAGGGUUGACUCUGAAAGAGGAAAGCGUAAUAUGCGCCACCUCGCGACAGUGAGCUGAAAGCCGCGUCGCAACUGCUCUUUAACAAUUUAUCAGACAAUCUGUGUGGGCACUCGAAGAUACGGAUUCUUAACGUCGCAAGACGAAAAAUGAAUGCCAAGUCUCAAGAGUGAACACGUAAUUCAUUACGAAGUUUAAUUCUUUGAGCAUCAAACUUUUAAAUUGAAGAGUUUGAUCAUGGCUCAGAUUGAACGCUGGCGGCAGGCCUAACACAUGCAAGUCGAACGGUAACAGGAAGAAGCUUGCUUCUUUGCUGACGAGUGGCGGACGGGUGAGUAAUGUCUGGGAAACUG